GACGAACGCUGGCGGCGUGCCUAAUACAUGCAAGUCGAACGCUUCUUUCCUCCCGAGUGCUUGCACUCAAUUGGAAAGAGGAGUGGCGGACGGGUGAGUAACACGUGGGUAACCUACCCAUCAGAGGGGGAUAACACUUGGAAACAGGUGCUAAUACCGCAUAACAGUUUAUGCCGCAUGGCAUAAGAGUGAAAGGCGCUUUCGGGUGUCGCUGAUGGAUGGACCCGCGGUGCAUUAGCUAUUUGGUGAGGUAACGGCUCACCAAGGCCACGAUGCAUAGCCGACCUGAGAGGGUGAUCGGCCACACUGUGACUGAGACACGGCCCAGACUCCUACGGGAGGCAGCAGUAGGGAAUCUUCGGCAAAGGACGAAAGUCUGACCGAGCAACGCCGCGUGAGUGAAGAAGGUUUUCGGAUCGUAAAACUCUGUUGUUAGAGAAGAACAAGGACGUUAGUAACUGAACGUCCCCUGACGGUAUCUAACCAGAAAGCCACGGCUAACUACGUG
rnacentral:rRNA from 1 species